rnacentral:lncRNA from 1 species
AAAAUCGCUAGUAUCCUUCAUCCAUCAAACAUAUCUAUCUGUUACACCAACAUCACCCUCCACCUUCUAAUCUGCCAUCGACACUCAACACCGGUGACCGUCAACCACCACCUCCACCCUCUUCACCUUCCGACCGGAACCCUAACGUCGCCGCCGCCGGCCCCUCCGUCCUUAACCCCAAUCUCCGACGGAACCAUCCACGCAUCACCGCCGCCCUCAGCCUUCCUUCCACCCACGCGACGUCCUCCACCUGCUUCGUCACCCUUCUCCGUCAUCUCCGCCACUCGCUGACCACCUCCACAUCUCCAUUGCCGGCACCGCCCUGAAUAGCACCGCCGGUCAACCACAGCCUUACUUCUCCGUCGCCGGUUCCAAUUAGGAACAACAUCAGAUUAUUGAAGUCGCCUUGCAUAUCACGACUCGUUUAAGUUUCAACGGUGAUGCUCUUGAUGAUUGUUGAUAAACCAACCGUCGUGGAAAUAUGAGUGAAACGAAACGAACAACUGCAACCACCUUUGUAGAUUCCUUACACACUCAUCUCCGAGCCUCGAGGACGAUGCUAUAUCUUAAGCUUGGGGAGGUUGAGAUUUGAGGUAAUUUCUAUGUUCUCAUUUUAUCUAUGCAUUACUUAGUUUGUAAAUAGUUGCAUUUUCCAUGAUCAUUGCAUUUAGAGUGUAUAUACAUGCAAAAAAAGAAAAAAAGAAAAAAAAGUAAAAAAAAAAAAAAAACCGUUUCUGUUCCGCUGAAAAUGGUUUGUGAAAAAUGAGAAAUGAUAUGAUUUCUAGCAUGUCAAAGCUUAUGCGUGAAAUGGUAACUUUGGGGAAGAAAACAUAGAUGACUCGGGAUGUGUUGAUAGGCUCGGCCCUAACUUAGGAACGCCAAUGUUGUAUGCAAUAACCUUAAUUAUAUACGUGUUUAGUUUCCCAUCUUGAUGCUUGUGGUUAAAAAUUGAUCCCGACCAAAAAUCGGUUGAGUUGCAUAUCCUCUAUCACACACCAUGUUCCCCAUAUCAUGACACCUCCGUAAUUUCAUUGAAAAAAUAAAGAGGUGAAAAAUUGACCUCAAAGAGGUGAAAAAUUGACCUCAUAUGUUAUUAUAGUUAAAAAAAAACAAAAAAAAAAAAAAAAAAGAGAAAAAGGAAGGGGUAAAAGAGCACAAUGUAUGCCAAAAAUUUGAAAAAAAAAAAUCGAAAUCGAAAUAAAAAAAAAAAUAUUUGAGCAAAUUAGGGAGAAAAGUCCCGACCCCUUGAAAAACGGAAAAAAAGAUAAUAACUAUCGUGUCAUGAUUUGGGUGCAUGGUCGCAUCAAGUGUGGUUUUGGAUAUCUUCAAAAAGUCGUGAGGUUGGGUAGAUGUUGCCAUAGGUGUUGGGCGUGGGGACGAUUGAACCAUGUUGGUAAGUUUGUAUAUUAUUAAGCAGAAAACAUUUGGUUGUGAUUAAGCGGGUUUGAGUUUAAAGGGACACAAAAUAUCAACAAUCGCGGUUACACGUGUUAGUAUUUCUCGGGUUCGAAUGAAUGUAAUAAGAGUUGGCAAUGUUGGAUGUGAUCUCAUUAAAAGUUUAUUUUCUGGAAUAAAAGAAGCGGGUUGAAAAAAAAAUAGUAAGCAUGCAUAUGUGUUUUAUUUUUCGUGUUUAUUUCUCAGUUUAUUCUUGUUCUUGACUUCCUUGAGGACAAGGAAAGGUUUAAGCUUGGGGAGAUUUGUUAGUUGCAUUUUUAGGCACGUUUCUAUAGCAUAUUUAUGUUAAAAUUUCAUCACAUUUCAUGCAUAUUUCAUAGCCAUACCUCAUUAUUUUGCGAAACACUUGUUUUUGUGUGGAGUAAUUGCUAAGGAUUACAAUGGAUUUCUGAAAGAACUUGAGGAGUGCAUCUAAAAAGAAGGUGUUUAUUAAUGAAGAUAACUCAUUCAACAUGUGAAUUAAAUGGCUGGACUAUUCUGGUGCAAAGUCAAGAAAUAUAAAGUGAUCAUUGUGUUGCAACAAAUAAAGAUUUUUGUGGGCUGAAUUUUAGAGGUAUGGAAUUAAUAAGUCUAUAUGGGUUGGCCACGAGAGAGAAAGCAAGGACAAUUAUAAUUGGGCUAAGCAAUAUGG